rnacentral:rRNA from 1 species
UACGUAGGGUGCGAGCGUUAAUCGGAAUUACUGGGCGUAAAGCGUGCGCAGGCGGUUCGUUGUGUCGGCGGUGAAAUCCCCGGGCUCAACCCGGGAACUGCGUCCGAUACUGGAAGGCUUGAAUCCGGGAGAGGGAUGCGGAAUUCCAGGUGUAGCGGUGAAAUGCGUAGAUAUCUGGAGGAACACCGGUGGCGAAGGCGGCAUCCUGGACCGGCAUUGACGCUGAGGCGCGAAAGCCAGGGGAGCAAACGGG